GUUGCUUUUUUCCUUCUAUUCAAACAUUAAUCUUAUUAUUAUAAAUGUAACAAGCUUUUAUAAUAUUGAGAUUUAUUGUUUUUGGUUUUGUAACGAAAGGGAAAACAAGAGUUUGUUUUCUAUUUCUGAAUUUUUGUUUACAUAAAAAGCUGUACAACUUCAUGGGGAUCUAGAUUCUGUAAUUAAUCCUUUUUUCUUUAAAUCCAAAAUUUCUGAACGACAGUGUUGUUCUAAUUAAGCAUUUAUCUGGAUUGGUCUGGCUUUUGUAGGUAUCUGUUUUUCAUCGAAACCAUUUUCAUGGGGUAAAUUUAUCAUAUGUUGUUUUCGAUUCCAAAAGGCAUUUGGUAGAUCAGAACAAAUUUUUCUUUCAAUUUGGGUUUUGAAAUCCAAAAUUUUCCUUUUCACCAAAUUGUUUUGUAAUUGUUUUUCAAUUCUUGUUAAAGAAAUAUCUUGCUGUAAAUACAACAAGUAUUGUUUUUUUUUCUUCUAUUAAAACAUUAAUCUCAUUAUUAUAAAUGGAAUAAGCUUUUAUAAUAUUGAUAUUUC
rnacentral:misc_RNA from 1 species